UUGCUGUGUUUUUGAGCGGGUUCACCACACUGGAACGUAGACCACUUAUAGCAAGCAGUGUUUUGCAUGAAAUAUUGUUCUGAAAACUAUUUUGUAGGCUGUUUCUGAGGGAGACCCCUGUGCCAAUACUCUGAUGGAUACCUCAUCACUUAGCAAAGAAAUGGAACAGAACAUAACCGAUGUGGGAAUGACUACGAAUGUCCAGUUGUUGCCAGAAGGACAGCAUGCAGAUGUCCUAAGAGAAGAGACAGAAGAGGUAAGUGUGUAAACACAAACCUAGUUUGGCGGUACACUAGGUUUUAAGAGGACCCUGCAAAUGUGUUUCGGCGUAGAGUUUUAUCAGCUGUGUGUGUAUAUAGUGUUUGACAGAAACAUGGACUCGGGGGACUUCUUAAUAUGAAGCUGUAAUUUAUGUCAUAGAUGGCCUUUUGCUGUGUUUUUGAGCGGGUUCACCACACUGGAACAUAGACCACUUAUAGCAAGCAGUGUUUUGCAUGAAAUAUUGUUCUGAAAACUAUUUUGUAGGCUGUUUCUGAGGGAGACCCCUGUGCCAAUACUCUGAUGGAUACCUCAUCACUUAGCAAAGAAAUGGAACAGAACAUAACCGAUGUGGGAAUGACUACGAAUGUCCAGUUGUUGCCAGAAGGACAGCAUGCAGAUGUCCUAAGAGAAGAGACAGAAGAGGUAAGUGUGUAAACACAAACCUAGUUUGGCGGUACACUAGGUUUUAAGAGGACCCUGCAAAUGUGUUUCGGCGUAGAGUUUUAUCAGCUGUGUGUGUAUAUAGUGUUUGACAGAAACAUGGACUCGGGGGACUUCUUAAUAUGAAGCUGUAAUUUAUGUCAUAGAUGGCCUUUUGCUGUGUUUUUGAGCGGGUUCACCACACUGGAACAUAGACCACUUAUAGCAAGCAGUGUUUUGCAUGAAAUAUUGUUCUGAAAACUAUUUUGUAGGCUGUUUCUGAGGGAGACCCCUGUGCCAAUACUCUGAUGGAUAACUCAUCACUUAGCAAAGAAAUGGAACAGAACAUAACCGAUGUGGGAAUGACUACGAAUGUCCAGUUGUUGCCAGAAGGACAGCAUGCAGAUGUCCUAAGAGAAGAG